UACGGAGGGUGCGAGCGUUGUCCGGAAUCACUGGGCGUAAAGGGCGCGUAGGUGGCUCGUGAAGCGUGCGGUGAAAGUCCGAGGCUCAACCUCGGAUCGGCCGUGCGGACUCGCGGGCUCGAGCGUUGUAGAGGCGGGUGGAAUUCCGGGUGUAGCGGUGGAAUGCGUAGAGAUCCGGAAGAACACCGGUGGCGAAGGCGGUCGUCUGGACACAUAUUGACGCUGAGGCUCGAAAGCAUGGGGAGCAAACAGG
rnacentral:rRNA from 1 species